CUUCAGAAAUCCAGCAGGGCGGAGUAGUGGAUUCAACGCAUCAGGGUCUGUUGUUUCUUCUCUGCUCACUAUGUCCACAAGAUGUUUCCAAGAUUCGCGUUGGACAGUUAUCCCAGCAUGGGAUAGAAACACUGAGAAACAUAAGGGAGUUUUUGGAUUUGAAGUUCGUUAUAAAGCCAGAUCCAAAGACUCACACAGUAAUUCUUAAAUGUAUCGGUGCUGGCUUGAAGAACCUUUCCAGAAAGCUGUCUUGAAGGUGAUGAGUCCUUGUAUUACUAUAAUUUACCAAUUUUUGUUUGUUACAAGCUCCAAGGACUCAUACUAGAACAUUUUUUAUCAAAUUACUCUAGUUGCUUUUCUGUUAGUAAUUCACAUUGUUGGGCUGCAAUGUAUUAAUCCAAUUGACCAAAUUUUCUUCUAUUGAAGAUUCUUUUUUGGUCACCCUCUUUAAUUAUAUUCAUGAGAAAGUGAUGAGAAAAUUUUCUGGCCAGACCAACCAUGAAGUCAACAUAAUAAUAUACAGAUUUAAA